CCUACGGGGGGCUGCAGUCGAGAAUAGUCUACAAUGGACGAGAGUCUGAUAGUGCAAUGCCGCGUGGAUGAAGAAGCAUUUCGGUGUGUAAAAUCCUUUUUUAAACGAGCAAAGCCGGGAAGGUGAAUAGCUUUUUUGGUAAGAUAUUAGUUUAAGAAUAAGCCUCGGCUAACUCCGUGCCAGCAGCCGCGGUAAUACGGGGGAGGCAAGCGUUGUCCGGAAUCACUAGGCGUAAAGGGCAAGUAGGCGGAUCAGUAAGUUACGGGUUAAAUCCAACGGCUCAACCGUUGAGCAGCUUGUGAUACUGUUGAUCUAGAGUCAGACAGGGGAAGACGGAAUUCCCGGUGUAGCGGUGGAAUGCGCAGAUAUCGGGAAGAACACCAAAGGCGAAGGCAGUCUUCUGGGUCAUGACUGACGCUCAAUUGCGAAGGUGUGGGUAUCAAACAGGAUUAGAUACCCCGGUAGUC
rnacentral:rRNA from 1 species